GAUGAAGAACGUAGCGAAAUGCGAAAAGUAAUGUGAAUUGCAGAAUUCAGUGAAUCAUCGAAUCUUUGAACGCACAUUGCGCCCGCCAGCAUUCUGGCGGGCAUGCCUGUUCGAGCGUCAUUUCAACCCUCGCAGCCCAUCUGGGCAGCGGUGUUGGGGACCGGCACCACCGGCGAAGCCCUUAGGGGCCCAGCCGGCGCCGCCCCCGAAAUACAGUGGCGGUCUCGCUGCAGCCUCCCUUGCGUAGUAGCACACCUCGCACCGGAGCGCAGCGCGGCCACGCCGUAAAACCCCCGACUUUCUGAGUUUGACCUCGAAUCAGGUAGGAAUACCCGCUGAACUUAAGCAUAUCAAUAAGCGGAGGA
rnacentral:misc_RNA from 1 species